AGCUACCUUUUGGCAAUUCGUAUAUUUCGGAGCUUUGCAGCACUGUUUGAAAUGAAUUGGUUGUCAUUCCUAUCCGUUUGUCUGCGCCAAAAAUUGCAAAUCGCACCCUGCAAACAGCAUGGCGAAUCGCAUUGCAUGCGCUGUCAGUGCCAGCGACGCCUGUGCAGAGGACGUGUGUCACCGCAUAUAGAUGCCUACGAAGAAGCGGGAGUUUAUUUGUGUAUAAAAACAGAUUCAAAAAGAGCACAUAUACAUACAUAAAUUAAAAUUUCUCAGCUGCCCGCUUAUGGUAUUAUUGAAAUUACUAAGAAAUUAUUGAUCACAAUGCCUGGGCAAAGAUAUAUAUAUAUUUUUUUUUAUUGUGGUUCUUCAAAGCGUUCCACCGUCUGGCAGCCAAUUUUUGGCAUCAGCUUUUGUGUGGCUAAAUUUGAAAGUGGCCGCAAAUAGAAAACAAAGUCACGGCCAACACAAUUGCGCUCUGGUCCCCGGGAAAGUGCUACUAAUUAGCCAUGUCCAAUCACAAGACUCUGCGCUGGCUGAGGCCGCAAAUGGACUGGGGAGCCGGAGAGUCAUUUUCAAAAGCCGCUUGACAAAAGUGUCGCUCCAAAUGUGCGACAAUAAGAUGACAUUUUGUUGUUGGCCCUUUGCGGGCGGAAGUCAAAGUGUUGUUAAAUAAAUAAUAAACCGUCUAUAAUAAAUGAUAUUAGGCGUAUA